AACGCACCUUGCGCUCCCUGGUAUUCCGGGGAGCACGCCUGUUCGAGUGUCGUGAAAUUCUCAAGCUGGAUGGCUUUAUUGUCCAUUUCAGUUUGGAUUUGGACCUUGCCGUGUCACUGCGGCUAGUCUUAAACGUAUUAGCUGAAUCUUGGUAUGAGAUUGGUUCUACUCAGCGUGAUAAUUAUCUGACCGCUGAGGACAUCUUUCGGGAUGGCCAGACUUGUCCUCGAGUCGCUUCUAAUCUGGUUUAAAACGAGGCUUAAUUGCUUUGUUUUACCACUUUUCAACUUUGACCUCGAAUCAGGCGGGACUACCCGCUGAACUUAA
rnacentral:misc_RNA from 1 species